GAUGAACGCUGGCGGCGUGCUUAACACAUGCAAGUCGAACGGUGAACACGGAGCUUGCUCUGUGGGAUCAGUGGCGAACGGGUGAGUAACACGUGAGCAACCUGCCCCUGACUCUGGGAUAAGCGCUGGAAACGGCGUCUAAUACUGGAUAUGUGACGUGACCGCAUGGUCUGCGUUUGGAAAGAUUUUUCGGUUGGGGAUGGGCUCGCAGCCUAUCAGCUUGUUGGUGAGGUAAUGGCUCACCAAGGCGUCGACGGGUAGCCGGCCUGAGAGGGUGACCGGCCACACUGGGACUGAGACACGGCCCAGACUCCUACGGGAGGCAGCAGUGGGGAAUAUUGCACAAUGGGCGCAAGCCUGAUGCAGCAACGCCGCGUGAGGGAUGACGGCCUUCGGGUUGUAAACCUCUUUUAGCAGGGAAGAAGCGAAAGUGACGGUACCUGCAGAAAAAGCGCCGGCUAACUACGUG
rnacentral:rRNA from 1 species